GUAAAACCAUUCUUCUUAGCAACAGCUCUAGGGGAGCUCGAAGUAUGAGGUGCAAAGGGACACUUUCUUAGUGCUGUAGCUACUUUUCUUGGUAGCAACCCCAGUGAUACCAACACUGAAGCCUUUAAUGAGUAAGCAGUGGUUAGUAGUAAGUCCAAGCCAAUUACUUAGGAAGAUCAGAAAUGUGAUAGUCAGCAUGCCUGACAUAUAUAUAGCAAGUAUACAUUUAUGUGAGCUAUUGAUUGUUACUGGAAAAAAAAAACAGAAGUUGUUACUGGUUAAGCAUAAAGUAUUGUACUACCUUGAAAAACAUGUAUGGGAUGUGUAUUUAAAAACUUGAGACACCCUCUCAAGGAGAAAACUUAAUCAUUAGAUAGAUAAAUAGAUAGAUAGAUAGAUAGAUAGAUAGAUAGAUAGAUUCAUUUUAAGGAAAAUUGAUUUUUUUUUGGUUUCUAUUGAGACAUGAGUGUUUCUGUGUAGCCUUUUGCUGUCCUGGAUCUCCCUAUGUAGACCAGGCUGGCCUCUAAGAUCCCAGAGAUUUGACUGCCUCUGCCUCCAGAGUGCUAAGAUUAAAGGCGUGCGCCACCAUACCCAGCUUUCUUCAUUGAUCUUAAAUGUACGGGUUCAUCAUAAAUUGUCAGAAGAUGAAUCAAAGCAAUCACUCAAGCGAUACAGUUCCCAGAUCCACAUUGCAACACUUUAUACAGUCUUGUCUUGGGCUAACAGACUUAUUCUGCUAAGUAAUCCUAACUAGUCUUAGGAAUACUGCUCAUUAUCUGGGCUAGUAUUAAAAAUCAAAGUAGGCCAGUACAGGAUAUCUAUCGGUCUUGCCUAAAGACGUAUAUCUAGAAAGAUCUAUGAUUUCAGCAAUCAAACUUCCAGGUUUUUGCCAGGCAUGUUGGUAUAUACCUGUAAUCCCAGCACUUGGGAGGCAGAGACAGGCUGAUCUUAAUGAGUUUGAAGCCAUUUAGUUCUAACAUGUAAACAGAGAUUCUGAGACAGAAUUGGCUAAUAAGCUGGGUCCUGUGAAUUCCUCUUUAAAAUUUAAGAUCUACUUAAAAGUUUCAGAAUUUUGGAAUUGUCAGAUACUGUCCAUGUUAGGUUUAUUCUUACCUUGAAACAGAGCAACAGAUAAAUGACCCAGUUGUGGCUUCUACCCUGUCUUUGCAUAAAUAUCAACUUAUGGCCUAGGAAUGAAAUGGUCCUUUUAAGGGGCUGGAGAGAUGGUUCAGUGACCCCACUUUUGAUUCCUAGCACCCAUGUGGUGGCUCACAACCAUCUGUAAGUCUAGUUCUAGGAGAUCUGACAUCCCUCCUUAGGCCUCUGCAGGCACCAGACAUAUUGUAUACAGAUAUACAUGCAGAAAAUACUCACGUACACC
rnacentral:lncRNA from 1 species